UACGGAGGGUGCAAGCGUUGUCCGGAAUUAUUGGGUGUAAAGGGUGUGCAGGCGGGGCGGUAAGUCAGGGGUGAAAGUCUACGGCUCAACCGUAGGAUGGCCUUUGAUACUGUCGUCCUUGAGUCCCGGAGAGGCCAUUAGAAUUCGUGGUGUAGCGGUGAAAUGCGUAGAUAUCACGAGGAAUACCGGAAGCGUAGGCGGAUGGCUGGACGGCGACUGACGCUCAGGCACGAAAGCGUGGGGAGCGAAC
rnacentral:rRNA from 1 species